UACGUAGGGGGCGAGCGUUGUCCGGAUUUAUUGGGCGUAAAGAGCUCGUAGGCGGCUUGGCAAGUCGGGUGUGAAACCUCCAGCUCAACCUGGAGACGCCACUCGAUACUGCCAUGGCUAGAGUCCGGUAGGGGACCACGGAAUUCCUGGUGUAGCGGUGAAAUGCGCAGAUAUCAGGAGGAACACCGGUGGCGAAGGCGGUGGUCUGGGCCGGCACUGACGCUGAGGCGCGAAAGCGUGGGGAGCAAACAGG
rnacentral:rRNA from 1 species